rnacentral:rRNA from 1 species
GAUGAACGCUGGCGGCGUGCCUAACACAUGCAAGUCGAGCGGUAUAUAGUGGAAUGAAACUUCGGUCGAGUGAAGCUAUAGAGAGCGGCGGACGGGUGAGUAACGCGUAGGCAACCUGCCCCAUACAGAGGGAUAGCCUCGGGAAACCGGGAUUAAAACCUCAUAACGCGAGGAGUUCACAUGGACUUCUCGCCAAAGAUUCAUCGGUAUGGGAUGGGCCUGCGUCUGAUUAGCUAGUUGGUGAGGUAACGGCUCACCAAGGCGACGAUCAGUAGCCGACCUGAGAGGGUAAUCGGCCACAUUGGAACUGAGACACGGUCCAAACUCCUACGGGAGGCAGCAGUGGGGAAUAUUGCACAAUGGGCGAAAGCCUGAUGCAGCAACGCCGCGUGAGUGAAGAA